AGAGUGAGGGAAGGAAGGGGUGACUAGUGACAGAGAGAGGGAUGGGGUGACUAGUGACAGUCACCCCCUCCCUCACUCUGUCACUAGUCACCCCCUCUCUCACUCUGUCAC